CGCUUAACGGUGGAUCCGCGCCGGGUACGGGCGGGCUUGAGUGCGGUAGGGGAGACUGGAAUUCCCGGUGUAACGGUGGAAUGUGUAGAUAUCGGGAAGAACACCAAUGGCGAAGGCAGGUCUCUGGGCCGUCACUGACGCUGAGGAGCGAAAGCGUGGGGAGCGAACAGGAUUAGAUACCCUGGUAGUCCACGCCGUAAACGGUGGAUGCUGGAUGUGGGGACCAUUCCACGGUCUCCGUGUCGGAGCCAACGCGUUAAGCAUCCCGCCUGGGGAGUACGGCCGCAAGGCUAAAACUCAAAGAAAUUGACGGGGGCCCGCACAAGCGGCGGAGCAUGCGGAUUAAUUCGAUGCAACGCGAAGAACCUUACCUGGGCUUGACAUGUUCCCGACAGCCGUAGAGAUACGGUCUCCCUUCGGGGCGGGUUCACAGGUGGUGCAUGGUCGUCGUCAGCUCGUGUCGUGAGAUGUUGGGUUAAGUCCCGCAACGAGCGCAACCCUCGCCCUGUGUUGCCAGCACGUCGUGGUGGGAACUCACGGGGGACCGCCGGGGUCAACUCGGAGGAAGGUGGGGAUGACGUCAGAUCAUCAUGCCCCUUACGUCCAGGGCUUCACGCAUGCUACAAUGGCCGGUACAACGGGAUGCGACACCGCGAGGUGGAGCGGAUCCCUUAAAACCGGUCUCAGUUCGGAUUGGAGUCUGCAACCCGACUCCAUGAAGGCGGAGUCGCUAGUAAUCGCGGAUCAGCAACGCCGCGGUGAAUGCGUUCCCGGGCCUUGUACACACCGCCCGUCAAGUCAUGAAAGUGGGUAGCACCCGAAGCCGGUGGCCCAACCUUUUGGGGGGGAGCCGUCUAAGGUGAGACUCGUGAUUGGGACUAAGUCGUAACAAGGUAGCCGUACCGGAAGGUGCGGCUG
rnacentral:rRNA from 1 species